rnacentral:lncRNA from 1 species
AAAGCUGCUGCAUCAAGAGCAAUGGGAUUCUUCUUCCCCUUUCUCAGUGUUUGUCCAGAGUGCCCCCCACUACAAAGUGUGGUCUAGAUCUUAUGUCCGAGGGCACCAUCUGCAUGGCCCUGUUUAUCCUGGAUGAAGUCUCUGCUGUCCUUCUUUGCCCCAUCUGUCCCUUGCUUCUUGAAGAAGACUUGCAGACUUGAGCUGGACCCUGCUUGUUGGGAGCAUGGAAUUCCCUCACCAUGAGCCCUGCAGACAGUGGCUGUAGCCCCUGGAGCUGCUCAGUUCAGCUCUAUUGUCUGGUGUCUCACUAACCAGGGUGUCCAGUGAGAGCUCAGGUUCAAGGUGGUCUGAGUAACUCUUUUCAUUAUUGACCAUUUGCUUUAAUCUUCUGAUUGACAUUGGAUCUCUUGUCAUCGGGAAGGAACAUGAUGUAGAAAGACUAUGUGUUUGGGGAAGUGCUCGCUGACAAGGACUUGGGAACCUGCUCCUGGGGGAUGAGCCAUGACUGUGCCAUUGACAUUCUGAUAUUUGCCCUGUGUGUACGUGGGCACCUCCCUUAAGCAUCACGCACAACCCAUGUGGCCUUGUGGUGGCGCUGAACUUCCACCUGGGAGUGGAGGUAGACAGCCAUGUGAGGAGAGAAGACCAAUUUAGGCAUGGGGACAGCCUCCAUAGAGAACUGUCACUCCAACAUGUAGAUGUUCCAGGAGGGACAAGUCACAGGCACACAUCCAAUCAUGCAGUACACGUCAAAUGGGUUUUGUAGCAUUCAACCUGGGCCACUUUCCAGACCUUCCACUGUCCCUAACUCUGUCCACUACUCUUAGAAUGAAGCUUAUUUCUCACAGUGUGGCUUCGGUUUACACUGACUUAAAAAAAAUGUCUGUCUUUAAAUGUAUGUUGCUGGUUUUCCAAUCUUGAGAAGACUGAUUAAAAAACAGAUGGUGGAAUGAGAUGGACAUCACUACCCCAAGUACAUGUAUGAAGACACAAAUGGUGUGAAUAUACUUUGUG